GGAGUUAGCCGGUGCUUCUUCUGUGAGUGAUGUCCUUCCUGCCGGUUAUUGACCCGCAGGCCUUCUUCCUCACUGAAAGUGCUUUACAACCCGAAGGCCUUCUUCACACACGCGGCAUGGCUGGAUCAGGGUUGCCCCCAUUGUCCAAUAUUCCCCACUGCUGCCUCCCGUAGGAGUCUGGGCCGUGUCUCAGUCCCAGUGUGGCUGAUCAUCCUCUCAGACCAGCUACGGAUCGUCGCCUUGGUGAGCCGUUACCUCACCAACCAGCUAAUCCGACAUAGGCUCAUCCGAUAGCGCGAGGCCCGAAGGUCCCCCGCUUUCCCCCGUAGGGCGUAUGCGGUAUUAGCCUGGGUUUCCCCCAGGUUAUCCCCCACUACCGGGCAGAUUCCUAUGCAUUACUCACCCGUCCGCCGCUCGCCACCAGGGAGCAAGCUCCCCGUGCUGCCGCUCGACUUGCAUGUGUUAGGCCUGCCGCCAGCGUUCAAUCUGAGCCAUAAUCAAACUCUGA
rnacentral:rRNA from 1 species